AUUGAACGCUGGCGGCAUGCCUUACACAUGCAAGUCGAACGGCAGCACGGGAGCAAUCCUGGUGGCGAGUGGCGAACGGGUGAGUAAUGUAUCGGAACGUGCCCAGUCGUGGGGGAUAACGUAGCGAAAGCUACGCUAAUACCGCAUACGAUCUGUGGAUGAAAGCGGGGGACCGUAAGGCCUCGCGCGAUUGGAGCGGCCGAUAUCAGAUUAGGUAGUUGGUGGGGUAAAGGCCUACCAAACCGACUAUCUGUAGCUGGUCUGAGAGGACGACCAGCCCCACGGGGGCUGAGACACGGCCCAGACUCCUACGGGAGGCAGCAGUGGGGAAUUUUGGACAAUGGGCGCAAGCCUGAUCCAGCAAUGCCGCGUGCAGGAUGAAGGCCUUCGGGUUGUAAACUGCUUUUGUACGGAGCGAAAAGGCUCUCUCUAAUACAGGGGCUCAUGACGGUACCGUAAGAAUAAGCACCGGCUAACUCUGUGCCAGCAGCCGCCGUAACAC
rnacentral:rRNA from 1 species